UCGUUUAAAGCCAUUAUAUCAGCAUUCUUGACGAAUUUAUGCAUGCUCUAACCUUUUAACAGUAAUUAGAUCACGGUCAGCAUGCUAUCAGUAAUCCAAUACCAAUUAGAGAUCAGACGCUAGCCCCGAAGAGUAUUUGUUGCAAUCCUCGAUCCCAGACAUCACAUCUACCAAGAGUAUAAUACUCCCGAAGGAGCUACCUUCUCCCAAUUAUUUUAUGAUAUCCAAAAUCAACAUAACCUGCCAAACGAAAAA
rnacentral:rRNA from 1 species